AGGCAUAAGCCACCAUGCCUGGCCAGGAAUUCUUGCUUUUUAGGGUUUCGCUUAAGUUUUAGGUUAUAAGGAUAAGAAUUCUAGUUAACACAUAAUUCAGUAGGCAAAAUGUGCUGGAAAAGAUUAUGUUAGUAGUGAGAAAAAGAAUAACUUUGUAUAAUUCAGAAGUUAUCAAAUUCUAACUAACUUUUUGGAUUUUAGGCUUCUAGACAGUUUAAGCAUGUUGAAUAUACUUUCAUAAAUAGAAUUUGAGUUCUAUUUCUCUCUCUGCCUAAUUUCUUCAAAAUUUGUAAACUAUUUGUGAAUAUUCUUAAUUCAUGGCAAUAUGUUUGUCUGCAUACAGUUGAGCAGGGUCCCUAGGGCCACUCAGGGAGAAAGAACCCAGAAACCAGACAUGCUUGCAAAAGAAUAUUUCUUACCAGUUAGUCUCUGGUCUCUUUCGCUCUGUGCAAACUGGUUAAAUGAAAGGUAAAAGUCACCAUUUGUCCCUUCUGUAAAGUUUUAAAUUGGUUUAAUAAUAAUAUAAGAGCUUAAAUCAAAUAUUUUGUCAGAAAAGUGAAAAAUGUAAUGCUUUUUAUUUAGUUCAUGUGACUUGAGUAAUCUUUAGGAAAUAAACAGUUUUAAAGAUUAUUGGUAAAAUACAGUUGUCUUGAAAAUGUAAACAUGUGGUCUAAGUUAUGUUCAAAUAUUAGGUUUGCUAAAUGCUUUAAGGUCAUAAACUGCUUCUUUGGUGUUUGAAAUUUGUUUAACUUGCCUGCUUUCCAGCUAGGUAAGGCCUGAGGACAGCCCACUCGGGAUGGCCCUGGGGGCUUCUGAGAUGAAAGAGGCCUUCUUGGGAGGCUCCCAGCAUUCCCUGUGCUCUUGCCUCUUCUCCCCUCUGCCUGCCUGAAGAUCCCCCUGAGUCCCUGCCACCCCCUCUCCAUGGGGAGUUGGCCAUGCCCCUAACUAUGCUGGAAACAUUCUAAUCUUAUCAGAACACAACUUAGCAGGUUUUACAUUACAAUUAAGAUUGCUAGGAGUCACCAUUAACAUGUAAUUAAGAUUACUAGAAACAGUUUUAUAUGCAAGAUGUGUAAGAAUAGUAAAAUGUGUUUUUUUUUUUUUUUUGGUAAAAGGUUAUAAAGGGUUUUUGCUUAAAAUUUCUGAGUCAUCAUUUUGGCAAAAUAAGUAAUUUAGGGCAAUCUGGAAUUCCAAAAUCAAACUUCAGUUUCAAAAUUGUCUUUUCUAAUGCCUGGCUUUUUGGAUGGAUCAGAUGGCCCCUGAAAACAUCCAGAAAAGAGUUAUAAUAGAGUUGGAUGAACAGAAAAGUAUCUAUGCUGCAGCUGGCACUUAUGACCUACGGAAAAAUACAUUAAAUGAAGAUUAUGGAAAUUCAGUGAAGGAGAUGAGACUGCUAAGUUAAAGACCAUCUAGCUUCAGAUGAUCAUGCAACAAAGGCUCCAGCCAAUUCCAGGUAAAGACACCACCCCUGGCCAUCAAGGAGAUACCCUGCCUCCACUAGAGAGAGCAGAGUGAGAGUUCUGUGAUCCUCAAUAGGUAGAAACUACACCCCAAGCCAGCAUGAAGCAGCUACAGAAGAAAGACCAGCUGUCCCUCUGCCUCCCAUAAAGAUUUAUGAAGAUCACAUCUCUCAGUGGGGAAAUGAGUCAAGAAAAUAAUGUCUGGAGGCAGGGAACAUAAGGCCAAUUAACACUUCAGCUAUGACAGGAAAUAUCCUUUCCAUAGGGUGUACACUAAGUGACUUCGUAACCUUACUUUGUCCUCUUCAUUUACAUAGGGCAUACAGCAAGUAACCAAUGGAAACUGCUAGAGUGUAUUUAAACUCCCACAAAUUCUGUAAUGGGGCCCUAUGCUCAUGCCCAUUACCACACUGUGAAGUGUACUUUCAUUUCGAAUAAAUAUCUCCUUUUGCUACUUUAUUCUUUCCUUGCAUUUUUUUCUGCAUUUUGUCCAAUUCUUUGUUCAAGAAGCCAAGAACCUGGACACCCUCUUUCGGUAACACAAUCAACUCCUAAGUACCAACCUCCUAAUAUCAUCAUCUUGGAGGUUAAAAUGUGGUAUAUACAUUUUGUGAGAAUGUAAAGAUUUCUUUAUCCAGUCUGGUGUUGACAGGCAUUUAAUUUGAUUCCAUGACUAUGCUAUUGUGAACAGUGUUACAAUGAACAUAUGCAUGCACGUGUCUUUAUGAUAGAAUGAUUUAUAUUCUUUGA
rnacentral:lncRNA from 1 species